CCUCCGCGAGGUGGGUGGUGCCGGGCGCCGCGGCCCCACCCGCGCUGUCAGCUUGGAAGCUGAGCCCCGCGUCCUCGGUGCAAAGUCCUCCCGGCCGCCGGGGUUCCCCAAAACGCGGAGGCCUAGCCGGCUCCCAUUACGCGGGGAAGCGUCCGCGUUCCUCACCGCGAGGAGUCACUGGAGCCCCCGAAUUCAAAUAGGGGCAGGCGAGGAGGAAGGGGAGGAUCCUCUUUUGGACUUUCUGCGUCGCAAUUCCUCCAGGUCUGCAGACAGCCGAGUCGAGACAAACAUCACUUGGUAAAUUUAAAGAGAGACAAACUUCUGGUAUCUCAGAUCAAACGUGUGGGAAAAAAGCAUGUUGGCCACAACAUUCUGACUUGAGGUAUACUUUUGAAGAAUUAAGUGUCUUCACCUCUGGGAAAGGAAAGGAUUAUUUGACAGGCAAUGUGUGCACACCCUAUGAAGCUACACAAUGACAAAGAUGUUUCUUUGUCCCCCGACCCCCCAAAAUACUCAUUUUGUCAAUCUAGUCAAUACUCAAAGGAAAAAUUGGUUGUAAACAUGUUUUACAUAUGUUCACUGUUUUUUGUUCUUUUAUACAGUUUACUCAAGAAGCCUAUGUAUGCCCAGGCUGAAUUAUCUAAGCUUUUGAAAAGUGUCCUAUAACAUGCAGCCUUAAUUUAUUAAUGUGAAAAAUAACUUGGAAGGAAAAUAUCAUGGUAAAUCAAUAUAGCCAUCAAUCAAAUAAUUAUGAAAUAUUUACUCAGUGUCUUCUAUAUGUAUUGCUGGACAAGAAGCAUUAUUCCUGACUACAAAGAGCUCACAGCGACUAUGACUAUCCCCCCGUGUUUCUUGAAACUAUUCAUAAAUUAAUUUUGCAUUUUUAAAAAUCAAGCCAUUUGGGGGCACCUGGGUGGCUCAGUCCGUUAAGCAUCCGACUUUGGCUCCAGUAAUGAUCUCACAGUUCGUGAGUUUGAGCCCCAACUUGGGCUCUGUGCUGACAGCCCAGAGCCUGGAGCCUGCUUCAGAUUCUGUGUCUCCGUCUCUCUCUGCCCCGCCCCUGCUCGCACUCUGUCUCUUUCUCUCUCAAAAAGAAAUAAGCAUAAAAAAUAAAAAAAAUAAAAAUCAAGCCGUUUGGAUAAAGCACAACCAUCUUACUUUAAACUUAAGAAACUCAGUAGUAUCAUAUAGGUUAAUAUUAAUAAAUGUUAAAAAGAUGGGAUGGUUGAGCAUUUCCUAAGAAAGCCUUUAGGGUGAACUUGGGUUUGUUCCUGAAGAUGCAAUAAAGUCUUUAGGAAGUAACAUCUUUCAUGAAGAUUUCUCUUUUCAAAAGGUCCCAAAAUUUGUACCCUUGGAAGUAGCAUCCAGUCUACCACUAUGACUACACUGACUAAACAAGUCCUUGGAGCAAUACGGCAAAUGUCGGUUCCUGUGUGACUGCAUAGUGUAUAAAUGUUUUAACUGCGAAAAAUGAGGUAACUGUUUUACCUUUCUAGAUGCAAAAAACAAAUUCUCUAGAAGUUUACUUGUGUCAAAUCAAAAUAAAAUAAUUUCAUCAAAAUGAAAAACCCUUUUUCUUUGAAGUUAAAAAUUAAAUCUGGGUCAAAUUAAAGGAGUUUUAUUAUAUCCUAGAAAAACUAAAGUGAUCCUAUGGAAUUUCAAAGGCGCACACAUAUAACAAUGUUAUGCAGCUUUAUAACUUGACCAUAAAUUCUGGAAACAAAGUGAAUAUGCAUAAUAAAUGAUUUCUUGCUUUACCAUGACAAUAUGUGACAUGUUUGAUGACACAGACAUUACCUGAUAUGUUUUAAAUGUAUUUUCUCUUGUAGCAAUACAUAGUUCUUGUUGCAAUUUUUCUCCAUCCUAGCAGAAGGAUCUUCAAUGUGUUAUCUUGGUUGACUUCUCUCAUUUUUACUAAAUAAACCUACACCUUUAGCAUACUCCAGAAGAAACAAGGAAUCAGAGGGGUUCUAUCUGUAAAGUUGAUAUAUAACAUAAUAUACCUUAAUAUAAAUCUGUAAAAAAAUAAAAUAGUAUUGUUUGUAUUUCUAAACUUUAUGGCUACCCUUUAUAUAAAGGGAAACUGAUAACUGGUAUUUAACUUUCCAUUGGUCUUCAGUAUUUUGUUUUCAUCCUACAUGUAGGUAAAAGUAAAAGCCCAGUAAAAUCAGCCAUUAUAUUUACUUUUAAAUGGUUGACCAACAAGUUGUUCUUACCUUAUAGAUACUUAAGACACCAUAGUAUCUUAUAGAUAUUAUAGCUAAUUCUGUUUCCCUCUUUCCAUUGGCUUUUGAAAGCCUGGAACAAAAUGAAUGUCCCGUCUGUAGAGAAUCUUACUGUGUGCAUUUUGAGAAGUAACCUCAUUUCAAGGUUCAUUUUAACUUUCCUCUGCCAUUUUCCUCGUGUACUCAUUUAUUUUCCCACCUACUUAAAGAAAAAAACAAACUUGUUUUUCUCUUCAUAAAUGUAAUAGAUAUUCGCUAUGUAAGAUGUAUAAAAUACGUAUAAGAAAAAAGAAGAAAAUAAAAGCGAUCAGUCCAGUGCUCGCUUGGGCAGCACAGAUACUAAAAUUGGAACGAUACAGAGAAGAUUAGCAUGGCCCCUGCACAAGUAUGACACACAGAUUCAUGAAGCUUCCAUAUUUUAAAAAAUAAGAAGGAAAGAUCAGUCCAUUCACCACCAUUUUUAGUUCUUACUAUUUUGUUUAUCCUUUUCUGUUGCAUAUAUAUGCAUUUCUAAAAGUGGAUCAUUUUAUACAUAAUAUUUUACACUGCUUUAUGAACUGAACAAUAUAUUUAACAUCUUCAAUAAAAUUAAAUACUAUUCUAUAA